rnacentral:rRNA from 1 species
CCCUUAGAUGUUCUGGGCUGCACGCGCGCUACACUGAAGCUAUCAACACGUUUUCCCUCCCUGAGAAGGGCGGAUAACCUUUUGAAUCAGCUUCGUGGUAGGGAUCGGGGCUUGCAAUUGUUCCCCGUGAACCAGGAAUUCCUAGUAGACGCGAGUCAUAAGCUCGCAUCGAUUAAGUCCCUGCCCUUUGUACACACCGCCCGUCGCUACUACCGAUUGAACGUUUUAGUGAGGCAUUUGGACCGACGCAUCUCAGUUUAACCGCUGGUUUGUGUUGGAAAGACUUCCAAACUUGAGCGUUUAGAGGAAGUAAAAGUCGUAACA